rnacentral:rRNA from 1 species
CCUACGGGUGGCAGCAGUGGGGAAUAUUGCACAAUGGGGGAAACCCUGAUGCAGCGACGCCGCGUGAGUGAGGAAGUAUUUCGGUAUGUAAAGCUCUAUCAGCAGGGAAGAAAAUGACGGUACCUGACUAAGAAGCCCCGGCUAACUACGUGCCAGCAGCCGCGGUAAUACGUAGGGGGCAAGCGUUAUCCGGAUUUACUGGGUGUAAAGGGAGCGUAGACGGCUAAUCAAGUCAGAAGUGAAAACCCAGGGCUCAACCUUGGGACUGCAUUGGGAACUACCGGGCUGGAGUGCCGGAGAGGUAGGCGGAAUUCCUAGUGUAGCGGUGAAAUGCGUAGAUAUUAGGAGGAACACCAGUGGCGAAGGCGGCCUACUGGACGGUGACUGACGCUGAGGCUCGAAAGCGUGGGGAGCAAACAGGAUUAGAUACCCGUGUAGUC